UACGGAAUGAAUGGGCUUAAUCCACAAGAAGACCGAUGAGACCCGACCCGAAUAAAUCACAACGUAGCCUGUGCCUUAUAAUUUGAUCAUUCGUUCGACUUGCGCCUUAUCUGAGGUCUCUUUUGAUAUUUUGAUCUGAGACUGAGAGAGACUUCUCUGCUGAACUAUCUCGAUCUAGAGACGUCGGCUCAUUUCCAUUGGAGAUUCUGAUAUUUCGCUGCUAAAUGGAGGACGUGGGAGGCCGAUACGGAUUAACGAUUCGAAGAUGGAGGUUUCUAGGGAGGCCAGCAUACGAACCGUCGUCGUCGUCGCCCUUGGUGUUCGCAUCACGAGGGAUCUGCGAGAAAUUUGCAUGAAAUCUUGGAAAGCGUAGCAUCGAAGAAAUUUGUGCAUACGAACAGUCGUCGUCGGCCUUGGUGCUCUCGGUCUGCGAGAAAUUUGCAUGAAAUAUCGCAGAAGCUUGUGACCGGCCUCGAUUUCCGAGACCAUGGCUGGGUUGCGUAAAGAGAAGCAUCUUCAGACCCAUUCAUUGCAUAGCUUCCACUUCCAGCGAAGAUCUUCAGCCCUUAUGUAAAGAUUGAAAAUGCAAAAAGGUCCCUGCCGAGAAGCUGAGAAGGCUUGGGAUCUUGAACAGCACGGAAUGCUAUUUUGUGUGCGCGCGCGUUUCUUUUAUAAUUUAUAAUUUUUUCAGCUCAUAUAAUGAAUAAGGACAAUGAAUUACUAAAAACAAAAACAAUUAGAUAGCAGGUAAAAACAAUUGCACGAUAUGGAAAUAUGACAUUAAUACGGCUACA